ACUCCUACGGGAGGCAGCAGUGAGGAAUAUUGCGCAAUGGGGGCAACCCUGACGCAGCAACGCCGCGUGAGUGAGGAAGGUUUUCGGACCGUAAAGCUCUGUCGAGCGGGAAGAAAUGUAUCAUGGCUAAUAUCCAUGAUACUUGACGGUACCGCUAAAGGAAGCACCGGCUAACUCCGUGCCAGCAGCCGCGGUAAUACGGGGGGUGCGAGCGUUGUUCGGAAUUAUUGGGCGUAAAGAGCGUGUAGGCGGCUGGAUCAGUCAGAUGUGAAAUCCCUGGGCUUAACCCAGGACGUGCAUUUGAAGCUGUCCAGCUUGAGUAGGGGAGAGGAAAGUGGAAUUCCUGGUGUAGAGGUGAAAUUCGUAGAUAUCAGGAGGAACACCGGUGGCGAAGGCGACUUUCUGGCCCUAUACUGACGCUGAGACGCGAGAGCGUGGGUAGCAAACAGGAUUAGAUACCCUGGUAGUC
rnacentral:rRNA from 1 species